rnacentral:tRNA from 1 species
ACCUGACUGGCUCAUUUGGUAGAGCAUGUGACUCUUGAUCUUGGGGUUGUGAGUUUGAGCCCCAUGUUGGGUA